rnacentral:rRNA from 1 species
ACGUAAUAGAUACCCAGGUAGUCCACGCCCUAAACGAUGUCUACUAGUUGUUGGUGGAGUAAAAUCCAUGAGUAAACGCAGCUAAACGCGUGAAGUAGACCGCCUGGGGAGUACGGUCGCAAGAUUAAAAACUCAAAGGAAUUGACGGGGGCCCGCACAAGCGGUGGAUUAUGUGGAUUAAAUUCGAUGCAACGCGAAAAACCUUACCUGGCCUUGACAUGCCACUAACGAAGCAGAGAUGCAUUAGGUGCCCGUAAGGGAAAGUGGACACAGGUGCUGCAUGGCUGUCGUCAGCUCGUGUCGUGAGAUGUUGGGUUAAGUCCCGCAACGAGCGCAACCCUUGCCAUUAAUUGCCAUCAUUUAGUUGGGCACUUUAAUGGGACUGCCGGUGACAAACCGGAGGAAGGUGGGGAUGACGUCAAGUCCUCAUGGCCCUUAUGGCCAGGGCUUCACACGUAAUACAAUGGUCGGUACAGAGAGUUGCCAACCCGCGAGGGGAGGCUAAUCUCAGAAAGCCGAUCGUAGUCCGGAUUGUUCU